CAGUAGCCGCGGUAACACGUAGGGUGCGAGCGUUAAUCGGAAUUACUGGGCGUAAAGCGUGCGCAGGCGGUAAUGUAAGACAGAUGUGAAAUCCCCGGGCUCAACCUGGGAACUGCAUUUGUGACUGCAUUGCUGGAGUGCGGCAGAGGGGGAUGGAAUUCCGCGUGUAGCAGUGAAAUGCGUAGAUAUGCGGAGGAACACCGAUGGCGAAGGCAAUCCCCUGGGCCUGCACUGACGCUCAUGCACGAAAGCGUGGGGAGCAAACGGGAUUAGAUACCCCGGUAGUCCCUGUCUCUUAUAC
rnacentral:rRNA from 1 species